GACGAACGCUGGCGGCGUGCCUAACACAUGCAAGUCGAACGGGGUUGAGCCCUUCGGGACUCAACUUAGUGGCGAACGGGUGAGUAACGCGUGAGAAACCUGCCUUUCAGUGGGGGACAACAGUUGGAAACGACUGCUAAUACCGCAUAAUGUAUUUUGGGGGCAUCCCUUUAAUACCAAAGCUUUAUGUGCUGAAAGAUGGUCUCGCGUCUGAUUAGAUAGUUGGUGAGGUAACGGCUCACCAAGUCGACGAUCAGUAGCCGGUCUGAGAGGAUGAACGGCCACAUUGGGACUGAGAUACGGCCCAGACUCCUACGGGAGGCAGCAGUGGGGAAUAUUGGGCAAUGGGGGGAAACCCUGACCCAGCAACGCCGCGUGAAGGAAGAAGGCCUUCGGGUUGUAACUUACUUUACCUACGGACGGAAGUAACGU
rnacentral:rRNA from 1 species